CAACUCUUUAGUCUCUGAAAUUUAGGUGUUCAUUCGGACUCACGGACAGACGGACACGGCUGUUUAUGCUGAUCAUGAAUAUAUAUUUACUUGACGGGAUUGGAGAUGUCUCCUUCUUCCCAAUAGGCAGCGGGUAUAAAAACACAAUUCCAAGCGAGCAAUCUGAAAAAGUUCUGGGAAGUGAUUCACUAUUGAAGAAUUUGCCUACUAAGUAAAAGUAUAUAAUCGUUUCAUUUCUAUACAACUGUUGCAAACAGCAAAAUGAAAUAAAUGUACUAUACGAAA